GCGGGAUUCGUUAGUUGAUCCUGGCUCAGAUUGAACGCUAGCGGGAUGCUUACACAUGCAAGUCGAACGGCAGCACGAGAGAGCUUGCUCUCUUGGUGGCGAGUGGCGGACGGGUGAGUAAUAUAUCGGAACUGCCAGUAGCGGGGGAUAACUACUCGAAAGAGUGGCUAAUACCGCAUACGCCCUACGGGGGAAAGGGGGGGAUCGCAAGACCUCUCACUAUUGGAGCGGCCGAUAUCGGAUUAGCUAGUUGGUGGGGAAAGCUCACCAAGGCAACGAUCCGUAGCUGGUUUGAGAGGACGACCAGCCACACUGGGACUGAGACACGGCCCAGACUCCUACGGGAGGCAGCAGUGGGGAAUUUUGGACAAUGGGGGAAACCCUGACCGCCAUCCCGCGUGUAUGAUGAAGGCCUUCGGGUUGUAAAGUACUUUUGGCAGAGAAGAAAAGGCAUCCCCUAAUACGGGAUGCUGCUGACGGUAUCUGCAGAAUAAGCACCGGCUAACUACGUGCACAGCCGCGGUAAUACGUAGGGUGCAAGCGUUAAUCGGAAUUACUGGGCGUAAAGCGUGUGUAGGCGGUUCGGAAAGAAAGAUGUGAAAUCCCAGGGCUCAACCUUGGAACUGCAUUUUUAACUGCCGCUAGAGUAUGUCAGAGGGGGGUAGAAUUCCACGUGUAGCAGUGAAAUGCGUAGAUAUGUGGAGGAAUACCGAUGGCGAAGGCAGCCCCCUGGGAUAAUACUGACGCUCAGACACGAAGGGUUUGCU
rnacentral:rRNA from 1 species